rnacentral:rRNA from 1 species
UACGGAGGGUGCAAGCAUUAAUCGGAUUUAUUGGGCGUAAAGGGCGCGUAGGCUGGGGCAUAAGUCAGAUGUGAAAUCCUGGAGCUCAACUUCAGAACUGCAUUUGAAACUAUGUCUCUAGAGGGUAGGCGGAGAAAACGGAAUUCCACAAGUAGCGGUGAAAUGCGUAGAUAUGUGGAAGAACACCGGUGGCGAAGGCGGUUUUCUAGCUUAUUCCUGACGCUGAGGCGCGAAAGCAAGGGGAUCAAACAGGG